UACGAGGGGUGCAAGCGUUGCUCGGAAUUAUUGGGCGUAAAGGGUAGGUAGGUGGUCUCGUUUGUCUGGGGUGAAAGCCUUGAGCUUAACUCAAGAAGUGCCCUAGAAACGGCGAGACUGGAGUACUGGAGAGGGUCGUGGAAUUCCCGGUGUAGCGGUGAAAUGCGUAGAGAUCGGGAGGAACACCAGAGGCGAAGGCGGCGACCUGGACGGACACUGACGCUGAGACGCGAAAGCGUGGGGAGCAAACAGG
rnacentral:rRNA from 1 species